GAGGGUAUAGCUUAGCAGUAAAGCACUUGCUUGGCAUAUAUGAGGUCCUGGGUUCAAUUCCCAGUACCUCCA
rnacentral:tRNA from 1 species